rnacentral:rRNA from 1 species
GACGAACGCUGGCGGCGUGCUUAACACAUGCAAGUCGAGCGGUAAGGCCCUUUCGGGGUACGACGAGCGGCGAACGGGUGAGUAACACGUGGGUGACCUGCCUUUAGUCUCUGGGAGUAAGCCUGGGAAACGUGGGUCUAAUACCGGAUACGACUCCGCGGUGCAUGCUGUGGGGUGGAAAGCCUUGUGCGGCUGGAGAUGGGCCCGCGGCCUAUCAGCUUGUUGGUGGGGUGAUGGCCUACCAAGGCGACGACGGGUAGCCGGCCUGAGAGGGCGACCGGCCACACUGGGACGUGAGACACGGCCCAGACUCCUACCGGGAGGGCAGCAGUGGGGAAGUCUUGCGCAAUGGGCGAAAGCCUGACGCAGCGACGCCGCGUGAGGGAUGACGGCCUCGGUUGU